AGUGAACGCUGGCGGUAGGCCUAACACAUGCAAGUCGAACGGCAGCACAGUAAGAGCUUGCUCUUACGGGUGGCGAGCGGCGGACGGGUCAGGAAUACUUCGGAAACUACUUUUUCGUGGGGGAUAACGCAGGGAAACUUACGCUAAUACCGCAUACGACCUACGGGUGAAAGCAGGCGUUCUUCGGACCUUGCGCGAUUGAAUGAGCCGAUGUCGGAUUAGCUAGUUGGCGGGGCAAAGGCCCACCAAGGCGACGAUCCGUAGCUGGGCUGAGGGGAUGAUCCGCCACACGGGAGCGAAGACACGGUGCAGAAUUGGACGGGAGACAGCGGUGGGGAACAUUGGAGAAGGAGCGCAAGCCUGAUCCAGCCAUUCCGCGUGGGCGAAGAAGGCCUUCGGGUUGUAAAGGCUGUUUGUUGGGAGAGAAAAGAGGCAGGUUAAUACGCAGCAGUUUGAACGGUACCGAAAGAUUAGGCACCGGCUAACUUCUU
rnacentral:rRNA from 1 species